rnacentral:lncRNA from 1 species
AUGUGGUCCACAAGGCUACAGCAUAAAGUGCUGGUGGCUUCUGAGGUAAACAGGGGCAGACAGUCCUGGACUCGGGAGCUUUUUCCCAACACCAGUCUGGUGGAGCAAUGGUGCUCAGAACGCUUCUCUGGAACUGCAUUUACCUUUCAAGAGAGAAUCCAGGACAGAGUGUCCAUGAAGAGAGAAGUGGGAAUAGCGGCUUUGAGCUGGAGCUCCUUGCUCCCUCCCAUAUACACCCUUAAGCAGGAGGCAGCCAGAGUCACCUCUCUCUGGGCUGACUGCUGGACAGGAAGGCUGUCAGUUUCUGAUAGAUCAAAAGAGCCGGAAGGACAGUGUCAUUCCUUGUCUCCAGGGCUGAGCUCUCCACACCUCCUCACCAGAGGCCCCUUUGGAAGGGGGCAAGUCACUUCCAUCAGUCCUGAGGGUUGUCUCUAUUUUAAGAUGAAAAUAAACCCUACCCUUCAAGUGCUAACCUUUUGCAGCUUGGUUUCAGGCAGAAUAAUGUAUAAAUUAUUCACUUCCCUUUUCCUGAUCUGUUCCUCCACCCCAUCAGAUUUGUAUAGUCAAGAUUUUAUCCAGAAAUGCUGGAUCUCCUGGUUGAAUAUUUUCACUGUAUGCUCACCUGUUUUUUGUUUGUUUGUUUGUUUGUUGGCCAUGCAAGAGAGGAAAAAUGCAGCGAUAUUUUGGAAUCCUAUGUCUAUCUCUCCUCUUCUUGUUAAUCAGAACCCUAUAGAUCUUGUCUCUAAUAAUAGCAUCUUGCCUAUGGGUGGUAUGGUUAACAGCAAGCUUACCCUCCUUACCAACUUAUUCUUUCUCUCCUGUGAUGUUCUCUGUAUCACAGAAGACUCUGGUUCUCAGCCUCUUGGAAAGGGUUGGCCAAUGGGGAAAAUGCUGGAAAAAUGGAGGGUGACAGAAAGGAGAAGUCAGGGGAUCUCUACCCCACUCUCUGUUCCCAGAAGCAUCGCCUGCAGCUACUGCCUCUUCUCCUUUGCUCCAUUACUGCUGAGACAGUUCCUUCUUCUCCUAUCUCAGCUCCAUGGGCUGCCCUCCCAGGGCUGUAGUGCCUACCGGAUGCCUCAACUACUGGCACUGGCAAAGCUAUCUUCUCUAGUUAUUCCUCCAGCCCAAGGGAAAUAG